GGAAGGGUUAGCAUUAGGAGAAAUACCUAAUGUAGAUGAUGGGUUGAUGGGUACAGCAAACCACCAUGGCACGUGUAUACCUACGUAACAAACCUGCAUGUUCUGCACAUGUACCCCAGAACUUAAAAUAUAAUUAAAAAAAAAAGAUGACAGUGCCCCAUUGGAGGGCAAAUUUAAGCCUCGCCAGUUUGAUAUUGGGUGCUAAGCAGAGUGGCUAAUGUCUGUUUUAUCACAUGUAUUUUGCUCUGGCCAGAACGAAAAAAAAGAAUUUUCCUUUAUGAUGAGGCUUGCCCGAGGUCAAUUGUGCCACAAGCCAGAUCACUAGGGUCGCUCAGGGAAAGGGAACCCAGAAGCCUGGCAUGCUGGCAAAAGGGUAAGAAUUUCUUACAAGUCAGAUUUCUGGCUUCUACCUCUGUGUGAAAAUGGUUGAAUGAAUAGUUAAAAAAAAAAAAAAGGGUUUAUCUCCUCUAUAAAGUUUUGAUUAAUGAGAGAAAAGAAAGGAGACAGUCAGUUGGCCUCAUGCUACUUUCAUUGGGUCUUGUUUGGAAAGCUGAGUCUCCUCUCUGUCAGAAUAAUGUUUUUUUCUUUUAAAAAUUUUCAAGUUAUCAUUUUGGCUAAAUGAGUGAUUUAUGGUAACCUAAGACUCUAUUUUGUAAUAGCCAAUGUUUAAACCUUUGGUAUUUAACAAACCUUUCAAAAUCAAGCUCUACAUUAUUAUGCUAAUCAGCCAAUAUUGAAAUUAUUUACAUAUACAGUUUGAAUGAACUCCAUGGUCUAAGUCAAAUUACCUAUGAAACCAUAAAAAUUCUAGAAGAAAACCUAAGAAAAGCUCUUCUAGAUGUUGGCUUAGGCAAAGAAUUUAUGAUGAAGAGAUGCUUUUUAAUGACAAUCUGUGAAUAAUCAAACUGGAAAUGCUUAAUCUUUACCAAAUCUGAGUGAUUAUUGUCAGGUCUAGGAUAUACUCCUUAAUCAUGAUGAUAUGGAUAGUAAUAGUCACAUUUGCAAUAGUAUUUUCAUAAUCUUUGUUUAUGAGAAAAUGUAUCCUUUUAAAAUAUCUCCCAAAAUAGUGAGUAGUAUAACUCCCUGCCCCCGCAUGACCAAUUUCUUAGAGUUACCCUUAUAAAAUCUAGCAUUACUCUUAUAUUUUCUAUUAUUAUUUUUGAAUGGUAAGUAAUGAGGCUUGUAUGACGGUGAUCUUAUGUUUAAAGAUUUUUAGAAAUCAUACUAUAUUAGAAUUUUUUUAAAACUUCAAAAUUCAGCUCUUUUAUCUUUCAUGUGACCAAUGACAUACAGCUCUAAAACACAAAGCAAAAAAAAAAAAAAAAAAAAAAAAAAAGACAAAACGGAAAUCAGAGACAGAGGUGAACAUGAAUAUAAACUUUCAUCAGUAAGCAUAAUGUAUAUGUCAGGACUGAGUCAUAAGCACCAGAAACCCAACUUGUACUAUAUAAAGGAAAAGAAGAGAAUUUAUUAGCUCACAGAUUCCAAAGAGGGGGUCAAUAACUGAACCCCAAGAAGGAAGAUACACAAAAGGCUUUGAGGACCACUGGAAUGCCUUCAGGAUUUAUUAUCUUUGUUAAUUUCCUUCGCUUUUCUCUGUGAAAGAGAAACCCAAAUUUACAAAGAAAGUGGAAGAAGUGGGAUUCUCAAGCAGAGCUUUUAAUCACUGCUACACAGAAUGUUACUAACAGUGAAAAUGAGGCAGCCUAAAGGCAGAACAAUACUGGAUGAACAACAACCAGAAAAACCCCAUCAUCGUCAUAAGAGCUGCAAAUCAAAGCAAGGGUAAGAGAGAAGGAGAAUGGACACUGGAGGCCUUUGCUUGGGGCCAGCCCUCACUACAAAGCAGGGUAUAUGGGAAAAAUUUAAGAAAAUUAUCUAAGAAACUGGGGGAUGUAAAGAGACAUAAAGUCAGGUGAGGACCUCAAGAUGAGAUCAUCCUGGAUUAUAGUGGGCCUGAAAUCCAAUAAAAAGUGUCUUUAUAAGGGAUAGAAAAGGAAAAGACACAGAAGACCAUGUGAAGAUGGAGGCAGAAACUGGAGUGAUGUGUCUACAAAUCAAGCAACGCCAAGAAUUGCAACAACCACCUGAAGCUAGGAGUGAGGCAUGGGAUGGAUUCUCUCUCAGAACCUCCAGAAGGAACUAACCCUCCUGACAUCUUGAUUUCAGACGUAUGGUCUCCAGAAAAAUGAGAAUAAAUUCAUGUUGUUCUAAGCCA
rnacentral:lncRNA from 1 species